GCCAGUCUAUUCCUCCUCAGGAAGGAGUUCAGCCUGAGCAGUCAUCAUCCUCUUCAGGGAAGUGAAUGUCAUGCUGAGGUAUGAUGUGUCUGGGAGUGAAAUCUCUCACAUUUGCACGCUGGGGAAGCCUGUCUCUGGUCUUAUUAGUGCACGGUGAGCCGCCUGCGGGGGCCCGAAGCACGCUAUAAUCACCCCAGGAGCCAGAGAGUAGUGGGAAACAUGUCAUUUGCACAGACAAGAGAGAGGCUGGGGUAUACAGACAAGGAGGCAUAUACAGACUUCACCCUCCCUACACCAUGCACUGCAAAAUCACCCUGUCUAUGGAUACGGAGAACAUAAACAAAAUAAAACUUCUUCAGAAUCAGUGGGUCCCCUCGGGACGGUUGAGCUAACGUAGGCUAAUGCGAUUAGCAUGAGGUUGUAAGUAACAAGAACAUUUCCCAGGGUAUAUCCUCUGACGUGUUGAUGAACCUCUUAAGGAUCAAGACUCUUUUUUUCAAUUUUCUCCUAAAAUGACAUACCCAAAUCUAACUGCCUGUAGCUCAGGCCCUGAAGCAAGCAUAUGCAUAUUCUUGGUACCAUUUGAAUGGAAACACUUUGAAGUUUGUGGAAAUUUGAAAGGAAUGUAGUAGAAUAUAACACAUUGGAGCUGGUAAAAUAUAACACAAAGAAAUAAAAAAUGUAUUUAUUUAGUACCGUCUUUGAAAUGCAAGAGAAAGGCCAUAAUGUAUUAUUCCAGCCCAGGUGCAAUUUAGAUUGUGGCCACUAGAUGGCAGUAGUGCAUGUGCAAUGUUUUAGACUGAUCCAAUGAACAAUUGUAUUUCUGUUCAAAAUGUUGUAUCUAGACUGCCCAAAUGUGCCUAAUUUGUUUAUUAAUAACUUUUCAUAUUCAAAACUGGGCACUCUCCUCAAACAAUAGCAUGGUAUUAUUUCCCUGUAAUAGC